rnacentral:rRNA from 1 species
AUUGAACGCUGGCGGCAGGCCUAACACAUGCAAGUCGAGCGGAUGAAGGGAGCUUGCUCCUGGAUUCAGCGGCGGACGGGUGAGUAAUGCCUAGGAAUCUGCCUGGUAGUGGGGGAUAACGUCCGGAAACGGGCGCUAAUACCGCAUACGUCCUGAGGGAGAAAGUGGGGGAUCUUCGGACCUCACGCUAUCAGAUGAGCCUAGGUCGGAUUAGCUAGUUGGUGGGGUAAAGGCCUACCAAGGCGACGAUCCGUAACUGGUCUGAGAGGAUGAUCAGUCACACUGGAACUGGGAAACGGUCCAGACCCCUACGGGAGGCAGCAGUGGGGAAUAUUUGACAAUGGGCGAAAGCCUGAUCCAGCCAUGCCGCGUGUGUGAAGAAGGUCUUCGGAUUGUAAAGCACUUUAAGUUGGGAGGAAGGGCAGUAAGUUAAUACCUUGCUGUUUUGACGUUACCAACAGAAUAAGCACCGGCUAACUUCGUG